UACGAAGGGGGCUAGCGUUGCUCGGAAUUACUGGGCGUAAAGCGCACGUAGGCGGCUUCUUAAGUCGGUGGUGAAAUCCUGGAGCUCAACUCCAGAACUGCCUUCGAUACUGGGAAGCUCGGAGUUCGGGAGAGGUGAGUGGAACUGCGAGUGUAGAGGUGAAAUUCGUAGAUAUUCGCAAGAACACCAGUGGCGGAAGGCGGCUCACUGGCCCGAUACGUGACGA
rnacentral:rRNA from 1 species